rnacentral:rRNA from 1 species
UACGUAGGGUGCAAGCGUUAAUCGGAAUUACUGGGCGUAAAGCGUGCGCAGGCGGUUCGGAAAGAAAGAUGUGAAAUCCCAGAGCUUAACUUUGGAACUGCAUUUUUAACUACCGAGCUAGAGUGUGUCAGAGGGAGGUGGAAUUCCGCGUGUAGCAGUGAAAUGCGUAGAUAUGCGGAGGAACACCGAUGGCGAAGGCAGCCUCCUGGGAUAACACUGACGCUCAUGCACGAAAGCGUGGGGGGAGCAAACAGGAUUAGAUACCCUGGUAGUCCACGCCCUAAACGAUGUCAACUAGCUGUUGGGGCCUUCGGGCCUUGGUAGCGCAGCUAACGCGUGAAGUUGACCGCCUGGGGAGUACGGUCGCAAGAUUAAAACUCA